GUUAAGGUGGCAGAGCCCGGUAAUUGCAUAAAACUUAAAACUUUACCCCCCGAGGUUCAACUCCUCUCCUUAACA
rnacentral:tRNA from 1 species